rnacentral:rRNA from 1 species
GGAUAACCUACCCUUAGGACUGGGAUAGCCCUGGGAAACUGGGGAUAAUACUGGAUAGGCAAUUAUUCCUGUAAUGGUUUUUUGUUUAAAUGUUUUUUCGCCUAAGGAUGGGUCUGCGGCCGAUUAGGUAGUUGGUUAGGUAAUGGCUUACCAAGCCUUUGAUCGGUACGGGUUGUGAGAGCAAGAGCCCGGAGAUGGAACCUGAGACAAGGUUCCAGGCCCUACGGGGUGCAGCAGGCGCGAAACCUCCGCAAUGUGAGAAAUCGCGACGGGGGGAUCCCAAGUGCCAUUCUUAACGGGAUGGCUUUUCAUUAGUGUAAAGAGCUUUUGGAAUAAGAGCUGGGCAAGACCGGUGCCAGCCGCCGCGGUAACACCGGCAGCUCUAGUGGUAGCAGUUUUUAUUGGGCCUAAAGCGUCCGUAGCCGGUUUAAUAAGUCUCUGGUGAAAUCCUGCAGCUUAACUGUGGGAAUUGCUGGAGAUACUAUUAGACUUGAGAUCGGGAGAGGUUAGAGGUACUCCCAGGGUAGAGGUGAAAUUCUGUAAUCCUGGGAGGACCGCCUGUUGCGAAGGCGUCUGACUGGAACGAUUCUGACGGUGAGGGACGAAAGCUAGGGGCGCGAACCGGAUUAGAUACCCGGGUAGUCCUAGCUGUAAACGAUGCGGACUUGGUGUUGGGGUGGCUUUGAGCUGUCCCAGUGCCGAAGGGAAGCUGUUAAGUCCGCCGCCUGGGAAGUACGGUCGCAAGACUGAAACUUAA